rnacentral:ncRNA from 2 species
AUCUUCACCAAGGGGAGCCCCGACAGGGGGCUGAGAAACUGCCACACGGAAAACCCGCAGCGCAGUGACCCGUUGAACCUGAUCCAGUUCAUACUGGCGUAGGGAGGGUGCGAAUGCUGUUU